rnacentral:rRNA from 1 species
UGGGGAAUAUUGGGCAAUGGAGGCAACUCUGACCCAGCAACGCCGCGUGAGUGAUGAAGGUCUUCGGAUUGUAAAACUCUUUAAGUGGGGACGAAGAAAGUGACUGUACCCACAGAAUAAGCCUCGGCUAACUACGUGCCAGCAGCCGCGGUAAUACGUAGGAGGCAAGCGUUAUCCGGAAUGACUGGGCGUAAAGGGUGCGUAGGUGGUUUGGUAAGUUAGUAGCGUAAUUCCGGGGCUUAACUUCGGAACUACUACUAAAACUGCUGGGCUUGAGUGCAGGAGGGCAUGUGGAAUUCCUAGUGUAACGGUGGAAUGUGUAGAUAUUAGGAAGAACACCAGUGGCGAAGGCGACAUGCUGGACUGUAACUGACACUGAGGCACGAAAGCGUGGGGAGCAAACAGGAUUAGAUACCCUGGUAGU